AAUUAAAUAUAUAUAUAUAUAUAUAAAAAUA
rnacentral:tRNA from 1 species